UACAGAGGUCUCAAGCGUUGUUCGGAUUCAUUGGGCGUAAAGGGUGCGUAGGCGGCGCGGUAAGUCGGGGGUGAAAUCCUGGAGCUCAACUCCAGAACUGCCUUCGAUACUGGCGAUCUUGAGUCCGGAAGAGGUGAGUGGAACUCCUAGUGUAGAGGUGGAAUUCGUAGAUAUUAGGAAGAACACCAGUGGCGAAGGCGGCUCACUGGUCCGGUACUGACGCUGAGGUGCGAAAGCGUGGGGAGCGAACAGG
rnacentral:rRNA from 1 species